rnacentral:lncRNA from 1 species
AUGUGCACAACAGGAGGUUUUCAUGCCCAAAGAGAGCCUCGUCCCCUUUUACAGUCCACCAGCUUCUCUCUUUGCUGGUCUGCAGCAUCAAGGGGAUUCACUUGCAGGACAGCUCAUUGGUGAGAGUUGGGCUAGCCUUUGGCAAAAAGUCGUGCCUGGGCUUAUGUCCUGGGGCAUUCUAGGUGAGGAGCUGAAGCUCAGGGCAUUGCCUACUGGUGUUUCUAUUCAGUCCAAGUGUGGCCUAGAAGACCCCACUGACCUCAGGUUCCCCAUGUGUAAAGGGCUAGUACCAGGCUCUGCCCACCACACAGGGACUACUGAAAGGGAUAUAAGGGUGGUGGGUAAGAAGAGAGGCCGGAUGAUGCAGCAGACUAUGUGAGUGGCUUGGGUGGCCGAUCCACGUAGCCCACAACAAAAUGACAGUGUGGGAUAUCCUGUCUUCCCUGGGUCUCUCUUCUCAGUGUUAGGUCCAGCCACAACUGCUGCUGCGCUGCCUCUUCCAAGCCGUGGAAGUUGAUGUGUGUCCUGGGUGUGGUGUCGAGGGGUGGCUGGGGCGGCCUCAGGCCUGUGACCCUCUGUGAAGUGGUGAUUUGUGUGGCACAUUCAUUCCUGGACCAUGUCCAGGUCAACCUGUUGUACCUGUGGCUGCCCUUGUCCCAUGAAGUCAUUAUAGUUUAUUCAACUGCAACAGGACAAAUGAGCAAAAGAACCUUGAACAAGAGGCCAUUAAAGGCCUUUUGUGAUGGAGGACACUGGCUGUGUGUUCAUUUCUCGUCUCACAAGCCCGGACAAGAAGAGAGCCGGAAGCACCCUCCAGCCCAGCCCUGCCCUGCUCCGCCCUGCCAUGGGUUUUGUGCCUCAUCUGUCUCCUCCCUCCUGAAGAUUCCCCGAGGGGUUUUCUGUUGUAUCUUGUGGCCUUGGGGUUAAGCUGCCAAGCGUUUGAUCUCUCAAAAGAUUGGCUGGAUUCCAUGAGCCCUGCUUUGCCCUGAGUUGAAGCCCCUGCCUGUUUCUGUCCCCUUAGCUUUACCCUGGCUCUGGUUCUGGCUGUGCCCAUGUUACAUAGCCUGUCCUGCCAGGUCUUCUUGAAAUCACUUUGUUUCCCCAAGUUUUAACUGCUCCUGGGCUAAAGGAUCAGCCAGCAUCCUAAUAGAUUCUGUCUUAUUUUCAAUAGAAAGGAGAGGUGCUAGGCAAGGCAGUGCACACUCUUAAUCCCAGCUCUGGGAGACAGUUUCUGGGUCUGCCUGGGCUACAUAGUGAGACUGUUUAAAAAAAAAAAAAAGAGGCUCGUGAAUACGAUCAAUUUUUUAUAAAAUUGAUUAUGUGAUGGACACUCGUUUUUUAUAUUCCUAUAAAAAUUGCACCAAUUU